rnacentral:lncRNA from 1 species
GGCAUGGGAAGCUUCCUGAGGCAUCUGUAAGAGCUGGCUGGACCCCUCACUUCCGUGCACCGUUACACCCUGAGCAGGAGGAUGGAAAAAAGCACACCUGGCAGUAGAAUUAGGAACAUGACGUCCGCGCCUGGACAGAACAGUUUACCAGUAAAUAGAGGCCAGCGUGAUGGGAGCAGAGAGGGAAACAGAGCCAGGCUCAAGAUGCGGCUGGAGAGAGAGGCAAGUGUCAGACCACAUGUGGCUGCCAAGCUGGGUUAUGGAGCGUGGACUUGACCCGGGGACCAAGGGAAGCUGUCAAAGCUGCAGGUAGGGGUCGCCAGCACAGAUCCGCAGGUCUGAAAGUGUGGGGAGGGCACAGAGCUGCAGGAGAGAGGCGAGCACCUUGAAAGAACCCACAAGUGCCCGUGUAUUUUCUGCAUAGGAAGCUACUCAAAGCCAAACUCCUAGCCUCAGUGGCGGCCCACAGAAGUGUUUAAACUGCCUUUGAGAAAAAGGGGUCUUCACACUCCAAAAGGCUGGGCAGGCCCCAGCUACGGGAUAAAAUGCAAGCCUCUCGUGUGGUCCUGCACCACCUUCCGUGACGUGGCUUGGCCUCGGGCUCCAAGCCUGACCCCCCAAGUCCUCAUGCAACCCCCUCCCCUGGGGACCAUGGUGCCCGGUGCCUCCACGCCAUGGCACGGGCUGCCCCUCUGUCCAGGCUGCCCUCCCCUUCUUGGGUCUCGUUCCACAACCUGAGCAGUGCCUCACACAGGGCAAGCUCCCCAUCAACGCGUGUUUGUUUUACACACAGCAGAGUUCAUUGCUCCCAUCCCGUGAAGCACACACCUCUGACACAGCAGGCAGGUCAACAGUCUACACUAAGCUGUUUACCUGCACCUCCGCCCAGACCGCGCUCCCAGAGGGCUGGGACCAGGUCUUUGCCGUCCUGCCGUCCUCACGGCCCGGCACCUGGUGGAGAGAUCAAGGCACAGAGAGGUUAAGUCACGUGCCCGAGACGCCCAGCUGUGAUGCUCGAAGUGGACACCCUACGCAGAGUCGCACCAGCAGCCUUUCCAGCAUCUUCUCCUGACGGACGCCAUGUCCCCAACACCUGUGAGACUCCUGGUUUGUCGCACCCUCCAGGGCGUUCUCUCCCGGGCACACCACCCCAAUUUCCCGCCAGUGGGAGUUUUAAUGAUGCCACGUGUCCCAAGGGUUCUCUGUGCUCCGCCUACCACAGCGAUGGGGUCCUCACUGCCAGGCGGGCAGGCAGAACUCCAGCUGCCAAGCCGCGCCUCACCACCUGCUUUCCUGGACCACUCCCGACUGGCACGCUGGGUCUCUGGAAGCAGACGCCGACACAGAGCCCGAGUGUGAGGACGUACGAGGGUCAACACUUCUGAAGGAAGAACACCGAGGAUAAAGAGACCCUACGAGCCUGUGUGAAUACACAGACAGAGGGACCUGUCCUAACGAUCAGAAAUGAAAAUAGCUUCAGACCCUCGUUGGUGGAGCAUAGCUUCCUCAGAAAGAAUAUGUGGAAGGUGCCCUUGCCACCUCCAAGGCCUUCAGAGGGUCCCUCGAGUGGUCUACUACCAGAGAGCCUUCCUGGAUACCACCUCUUUCUUCCAUGUUCAUGUGUCCCUUUCUCCAGAAGGACCUAAUUUUUCCCUUCUUUGAACUCCUCACAGAUCCAUUCAUUCAUUCAUUCAUUUCCUGUUGGUUUUUUAAAUUAAGGUUUAUUGAACAACCACUAUGCUCCAGACCCUGAG